rnacentral:lncRNA from 10 species
GACAGCAGUAGUGUCUUGUGGAAGAGGGAGAGAAAGUGUGUGUGACCCCAGAGUUCCUCGCUGACAGCAACGCGGCCCUGGGCAGUGGCCCUGUUCCUUGUUUCUCCUCUGAGUAAGGAUUGCUGACUCCACACAGCUCUCUGUCUUCAGCAGCAGGGCUUCCAUCAGAUCUCGAGGAGCUGUUUAAUAACCACAACACUUCCAGCCAUUAACAAAGAUAAAGACAGCAUUGGAAAAUUGACUUUUGCCUGAGCACAGAUUGGGUCUCAGGUAUGGACGUGGCCACCCAUCACCACGGAGCAGCACGCACACUGGCUUCUCAACCACAGAAACUUUCUCCAGAGAGCUCAGGAUAUUUUAAUGAGCAUGACCUCUUUACAGUACUACAACAGCCUUGUGAUCACAUCCAUUUUACAAACAAGAAAAGUGAGGCAGAAGAAAGCAGGGUCUGACCUGGUUCUCAGAAGCCAGGCCUUUGCUUCCAGAGUCUGGGUUCCAACCUUCAUACCUUCAACAGGUACUCACUGGACACCUGCUCUGUGCCAAGCCCUCCUCUAGGGACUGGGAACACAGCAGUGAACACAACAGACAAAACUUCCUGCCUUGUGAAGUUUACA